UCCUACGGGGGGCAGCAGUGAGGAAUAUUGGUCAAUGGCCGAGAGGCUGAACCAGCCAAGUCGCGUGAGGGAAGACGGCCCUACGGGUUGUAAACCUCUUUUGUCGGGGAGCAAAGAGAGUCACGUGUGACUCAUUGAGAGUACCCGAAGAAAAAGCAUCGGCUAACUCCGUGCCAGCAGCCGCGGUAAUACGGAGGAUGCGAGCGUUAUCCGGAUUUAUUGGGUUUAAAGGGUGCGCAGGCGGAGGUGCAAAUCAGCGGUCAAAUUGCGGGGCUCAACCUCGCUCCGCCGUUGAAACUGGCGUU
rnacentral:rRNA from 1 species